UUUUUUUUUUUUUUUUCUUUUUGUACUGAGAUCCUUCUUGAUGUGUUUUAUUUAAUUCAUAAAAUGUUUGUAAUAGGAUGUUGUCCACUUAACCACUGGUGGGGAUCACCAACCCUGCACACAGACCUUGAUCGGAGCUGUCUGGUCCAUUAUCAGAAGAGUGGGCAGCACUGUGUGCCCAAUCACAGAAUUUUCUUGUAUAAUUUAUCAGCAUUAUGAAGGAGAUAUUGUCACAGUGUUCGAUAAAAACUGUUGUUCCUCUGGAAACUUGUAUUUGACUGUGACUUGUCCAGGACAGCUGUAGACAACCUCUCUCAUGGAUGCAGCAAGUUCUCAUUCUCAGCUGAACAGUGUAAGCCCAUCCAGGUAGAGGGUCAAUGUGUGAAGCUUGACCAGCAGCACAGUCCGGGUCAGUGGUUACCUCCUGUACCUCAAGGUCUCUCUCAGAGAAGUUCUGCCAUACCAUCCCUAACACAGGUUAACUCAUUCCCUAUGAUGUGAUGCAUUGCAAGAUCUGUCUUUCACACCUCUGAACUACAGCUGUGAUGGAGAACUUGUGCCCUAGCUAGGACUUGUAUCAAAGAGGAGUAUUAAUGGACAGAAGAAAUUGUCAUAAACUCACCAGCCCAUCAUUUGGCCUUACCUGCUGUUGGAGGCUGAACACGUUGAUAAACAUUGCUACAAUGUAGAGUGUUGCAGUCAGUGGGAGUUAGGAGUCCACAUUUGCCGUAAGAAGAACCAGACAAGUCACCUGAGUGACUCAGGUACUUGGAGAAGAACCAUUGAGACGGUAGAGACUGGAUACAAAUGGAACAUCAUAGGGAUAACAACACAGGACAGGAGCCAAUGGAGAGAUCUUGUAGGCGGCUUAUGUGUAGACAUCCACGAAGAGGAGCUAUAGUGACUCAGCUACCUGGGCCUCAAAAGACGAUGAAACCCUGCAGUAGGAGCAGUUCCUAUCGCCUAAAAGCAGAAAGAGGUUCUCUUAUCAUGUGAUCCAUUUCUGGUGACAAGCUUUUGUAUGGAGCAGUGAAAUUUCCUGUUUUUAGCUCAAUAGAGUGGGCUUCUCUGAUCCCCCCUUGUCUGCCGCCUGUCUGUCUGUCCAUCCGUCUGUAAACUUGACACAUUUUCAACUUCUCUACCAUCACUAUGCCCAAUAAUAUAGAGCACCCUUGGGUAAAGGAUUCAAAAUGAAUCAAAUGAAGGGUCUCACCCUCUUUGAAGGGGAGGUAAUCAAGAAAUGGUAAAAAAUAGGAUAGAGUCAUUUAAGAAUCUUCUCCAGAACCACUGAGCUAGAAACGAUGAAACCUCUGUAAGUCAUGUAAAACUUUCCUGACUUAUUGUAAAUUGUUUGAAUUCUGGCUCCAGAGGAUAGAAUAAGGCCACCAGACUGAAAAAGGAUGCGUGCAUUUUACUAAAACUUUGCGAGUGUGCUACAUGGCGCUCUGCAUGAUUAUUGCCUUGUGCUAUUUUUCGGCAGUAUUCACAUAUGGCACUGCCUCUUCCUAUACACUGCCCACCACACUAAGUGAUAAAAUUUUUUAUAUUUAUGUAUGAAAAACUAAUUUUAAAAGCAAGACCACGAUUAGUUAUGUUAGUAUGCAAGCAUUCUUGGGUAAGGCCAAAAAAAAAUGUGUAUCUAUGAUAACCUGCUGGAAAAAAUAGGGUUAGUCGGUCGGAUUUUGUUGUUGUUGAUUUUUUGUUUUUGCUGUAUUUGUUUACUUAUUCAUCUUGACAGUCAAAUAACCUCACCAGCUGCUAGGGGGGAUGGUUUUAUUUCGUGCAAUUUCCCCAAACUUUACAUUCAAUACUCUUUAGUUGAUAGGUUAGUCAACAAACGAAAUCAUUUGAAGCUGGGAGUUUUCAGGUCGUGUGGGGCUUUAAUGAAUAUUUGAAGGUAUGUUUAGACACAAGUAUAGUAGGAAAAUAUGUUAAGAAUUUUUUGAUAUUAAAUUUAUGAGACAGUAACUCAAGAAUACAACGAUAUAAGGCCUCAACCGUGCGCAGCUUUUUGUGCGCCGUAAAUCGAAGGUUUUUAUAAGGGGUGGCUCUGUAGCUCUGUUAUGUCAAAAUAUUUUUUCAGAGAGCUACAGUUCUGCAGCUAAUUCUAACCCAGAUCCCCAUGGGUUUUAUAGAUUAAAGUCAUGCUAUUGCUUGGAAAUAUCUAUAAAUGCCAUGUAAUUUUGGAAUGGUGCCAUAUUUAUAGAGGUGGAGUAAUAGUGGAUUCAAUUCUGGAAGGAGAAGAAAUUUCCGGAAAAUUAUAUAUUUUCCGAUAAAGAAAAUUUUAGGGUGGGAAGAAAAUAUAGGGCCGGUCAGGUGACCGUAAACACACAUUUAUUUUGCCUAAUGCAAAUUCAUUUAUUUUCUCAAAUCAUGACCCAAGGGGUAGGGUAGGACCAGAGUAAGAAAUCACUGUUUUACAUGGGAAUAUUUUGGGAAAAUCUUUAAGAUAUCUAUUUUUCUCAAGAACAAUAGGUCCAUGAUUAGUAUGCAAUAAUCCUUAAGUAGUUCAGAUUUAAGUUUUUAGCUCACCUGAGCUGAAAGCUCAAGUGAGCUUUUCUGAUCGCCUGUUGUCCGUCUGUCUGUAAACUUUUUACCGCUGAGCCAAUUUCAACCAGACGUAGCACAAAGCAUCUUUGGGUAAAGGGCUUUCAAAUUUGUCCAAAUGAAGGGACAUGCCCCUUCAAAGGGUAGAUAAUCACAAAAAAUGCAAAAAUAGGGUGGGGGUCAUUUAGAAAUUUUCCUUUCAAGAACCACACAACCAGAAAAGCUGAAAUUUACAUGGCAGCUUCCUGACAUAUUGCAGAUUCAAGUUUAUUAAAAUGUUUGCCCCCGGGGGUAGGAUGGGGCUAUAGUAGGGGAUCAAAGUUUUACAUACAAAUAUAUAGGGAAAAUCUUUAAAAAUCUUCUCAAGAACAACUGGGCAUAAAAAACCAAGAUUUACAUGAAAGCUCCUGAAAGAGUGCAAAUUGAAGUUUGUUAAAAUCAAGGCUCCCAGGGGUAGGAUGGGGCCAUAAUAAGUGAUCAAAAUUAUACACGCAAAUAUAUAGGGAAUUUUUUUAAAAAGCUUCUUGUCAAAAAUCACAGGGCCACAAAAGCUGAGAUUUAAAUGAAAGCCUUUUGACAUUGUGCAAAUUUGAAUUUUUAAAAAUCAUGGCCCGGGGAUAGGAUGGGGCCACAAUAAAUGAUCAAAGUUUUACAUGCAAAUAUAUAGGGAAAAUCUUUAAAAAGCUUCUUGUCAAGAACCACAGGGCCAGAAAAGCUGAGAUUUACAUGAAAGCUGUUUGACAUUGUGCAAAUUUGAUUUUUAAAAAUCCUACCCCCGAGGCCACAAUAAGUAAUCAAAGUUUUACAUGCAAAUAUAUAGGGAAAAUUUUCUUCUCAAGAACCGCUGGGCCUGAAAAAUUGAGAUUUACAUGAAAGCUUCCUGACAUUGUGCAAAUUCAAUUUUGUUAAAAUUAAGGCCCCUGGGGGUAGGAUGGGGCCACAAUAGGGGAUCAAAUUUUACAUAUACAUACAAAUAAAUGAUAGGGAAAAUCUUUUUUAAAAAUUCUUCUCAAAAACCACUGGGCUAAGAAAUUACAAAUUGACAUGAAAGCUUCUUGACAUAAUGGCAGAUUCAAGUUUGUUAAAAUCAUGGCCCCCGGGGGUAUGAUGGAGCCACAUUAGGGGAUCAACCUUUUACAUACAAAUAUAUAAGGAAAUUAUUUAUAAAUCUUCUCAAGAACCAUUGGACCAAAGAUGUUUACAUAUACAUGAAAGCUCCUGCAGAUUCAAUAGUGCAGAUUCAAGUUUGUAAAAAUCAUGGCCCCGGGAUUAGAUUGGUGCCACAAUAGGGAUCAAAGUUUUACAUGCAAAUAUAUAGAGAAAAUCUUUAAAUAUGGGCCAAGGUGACUCAGGUGAGCGAUGUGGUCCAUGGGCCUCUUGUUUUAAUCAUGGUCUUGGAAGGUAUUUCAAGAUCACAACAGGCAAUCAACAUUUACAUGGUAAUAGAUAUUGAAAAAAUCUUUAGAAUAUUGUACUCAAGAACUAUUAGGUAUUAUUAGUCAUGUAGACACUCCAGUGUUAGUGCAGAGUUAUAUUUGAUCAAACCAUGGCCCUUUGGGAAGGGUGGGGCUAAAAUAGAGAUUCAGUUUACAUGAAAAUACGUAGAAAAUUUGGUAACAUUAUUUUGAAGAGUAACAGGAUCGUACUAAAUCAAACAUUAGUUUGUUAGGGUUAGGACGGGACAAAUAUGUGGGUGGGGUUAGAAUCAGGGAUCAAAUUUUAUGCAAUGCACAAAUACAGGGGAAAAAAUGAGUAUGCCCCUUCCUAAACACGACAAUUCCUAAACAUGAUAUGUCCCUUCCUAAACACGAGUAUGUCCCUUCCUAUACAUGAGUAUGUUCCUUAAACACUGUAUUGUGAUGAUGUUGUAAAAUGUGGGGCUGCCUUUUUCUGAAAUCAUACCCUGUUUUUGCCUUUUCCUGAUUAUUUCCCCUUUGAAGAGGACAUGCCCUUUAAUUGAACAAACUUGAAUCCCCUUCAUCUAAAGAUGAUUUAUAGCAAGUUUUGAUUAAAAUUGGCCAAGUUGUUCUGGAGAAGAUGAAAAUGUAAAAAGUGAAUAACAAUAGACAAAUUUUGAUUGGAAAGGCUCACUUUGGCUCUGGUGAGCUAUUAAAAAUAAGAUUCUCAAAAUCAGCAAUAGAAUGUUCUUACUAUAAAUACAAGUGCAGCAUAUCAGUACAGAAUUACUAGUAAAUGGUGUGAUUUUGUCUAUUUGUGCCGUGGAUAUCAAUCUGGAGAGCUCGGUGAUUAGAGCACCUGACUAGUAAUACAGGGGUCUCGGUUUUGAUUCCUGGUCUAGCCAUAA